rnacentral:rRNA from 1 species
GUAUAGCAAUAGCUACUUGCAUCAUUCUAAAUAUGAUGCAAGAUCGACUAUGUCGAAUAAAAUUCUAGGUAGAAUUAUGAUAAUGACAUUGUCUGCCUAUGUGUCUUGACCAAAUUACGUGCCAGCAGUCGCGGUAAUACGUAGAAGACUAGUGUUAUUCAUGUUUAAUCGGUUUAAAGGGUACCUAGACGGUAAAUCAAGCCUAAAAGGAAAUAAAUGAAGGGACUAAUUUACUAGAGUUACUUAUGAGGGGGUAUUAAAGUACUGCUGGUGUAGAGAUGAAAUUCUGUCAUACCUCUUUUCAAUAGAAAAAUAAUGGCACAGGUAUAGGCGAAAGCAUCCCCUUAUGUGAUAACUGACGUUGAGGGACGAAGGCUUUGUGUAGCGAACAGGAUUAGAUACCCCAGUAGUCAAAGCAGAAAAUGAUGAAUGUCAUAGAUUAGAUAUAUAAGUUUAUUCUAUAAAUGAAAGUGUAAGCAUUCCACCUCAAGAGUAAUUUGGCAACAUUGGAACUGAAAUCAUUAGACCGUUUCUGAAACCAGUAGUGAAGUAUGUUGUUUAAUUUGAUGAUCCGCAAAAAACCUUACCACAAUUUGAAUAUUUAUAUCUUUUGUUGUUUUUCUUUUUAACUUUCUUCUGAUUUUCUACUUAAAAGAAAACAAUAACAAGAAAAAAGAGGCAAUAAG